rnacentral:misc_RNA from 1 species
GAUGAAGAACGUAGCGAAAUGCGAUACUUGGUGUGAAUUGCAGAAUCCCGUGAACCAUCGAGUCUUUGAACGCAAGUUGCGCUCGAAGCCAUUAGGCCGAGGGCACGCCUGCCUGGGUGUCACACGUCGUUGCCCCCCCAUCUACUCCUUCGGGAUUGCGGGGGGCGGAUGAUGGCCUCCUGUGCGCCUCGUCGCGCGGUUGGCAUAAAUGCCAAGUCCUCGGCGACGCACGCCACGACAAUCGGUGGUUGCGAAACCUCGGUUGCCCGUCGUGUGCGGUCGUCGCGCAUCGAGGGCUCGAAAAAAUUGCCGGGCUCCGGCUCGGCUUUCAACGCGACCCCAGGUCAGGCGGGGUUACCCGCUGAAUUUAAGCAUAUCAAUAAGCGGAGGA